GCACUCCAGCCUGGGCGACAGAGCGAGACUCCAUCUCAAAAAAAAAAAAAAAAAAAAAAAAAAAUUUAAAUGCUCUUCCUUUACCUGGAAGGCGUUUUCCUCACCUGGACCUGCUUGCUGAACUCUUACUUUUAAAUAUGCCCUCUGUGAAUAUUCUGAGUCUGUCAGAUCUGCCUCUCCUAUAUGAAACUUUUAUACAUUUUAUUGCAUGUCAUAAUUAUUUACACAUCAAUACCUAUACUAGACCCACCAUAAAUUCUUUGGAAAGUAGUAGCUAUGUCCUAUUCAACUUUGUGUCCCCAGUGUCUACCACUGUGCCAGGCUUAUAAUAGAAGUUCAAUAAAUGUUUGUGGGUAAAUGAAUGAUCCUCAUACAGCAUGCAGUACAGGUGAGAAAACAAAGGCUAAAAGAUAUUAAAACAUUUGCCAGAGGCCAAGUUGCUUGUAAGUCACAAAACAUGAUAAACAAUUCAAGUUUUCUGACUUCUGUCCCACUACAUGCUACUAUGUGUAUGUAACCAUCAUAGAAAGGUGAAGAAAGAGAAAGGAAGAAGAUGCAAAGUUUGCCCUUAAGGGGUAUAUAAAUUUCCACAGGCAUUGUAUUAAAUAAAAGAGAAGAGUUAGAAAACAGAGCUAUGGUAAUGAAUGAACUAUAUAUUUAAGAUACAGUCUUUCAGAGGACUAGCAAGAGUUAUUAUUUUUAAAGCUUAGCAGAACAAAUGGCUUCUACAAUCAAAUGUACUCAUUAGUAAACACUGGAGGGGAAAAUGCCUUUUGAUAGAAAAUUCCCAACUACAGAUAUUUACUUUGUUCCCUGCCUGAACGAAGAUGGAUAUUUUAACUUUGGAUAUGUUCUGUUCUUGGACAUAUAUAAGUUAAUGUGAUACAACUACAUGGCAAUCUGAAAAUUACAUUCCUCUCCAUCAUUUGAGCUGAACCUAUAAAUAAAUAAACCUUAGCCCAAAUAAGAAAUUGUUUAAAAAUGAAUCUCUAGAUUUGGAGCACUGGAACUGAACUCCCAUUUGUAAUCGAAUGCUGUGAUUAAAUAAAAGUAGCAUGGGAAAUGGAAACCUUGGUUCUAUAUGGAAUCAGCCCCCAAACUAUGUGGUUGGUCCUGAUGAGUCAUUUAACUCACAUGUUUAAAAUUUCUCACUUGUAAAAUAAAAGAGCAGGACUAGAUGCUCUUCAGAAUUCUGAAGUACCCUGAUUAAUCAUCCUUUUAUACUUUUAUUUGGGAUAAAGCUGAUUAAAAACACUUGUGUUCAAACCCCCAAAUCUACUAUUUAGGAGGUAGGAUGACUUGAACAAGUGGUUGACCACACAGUGCCUGAGUUUAUUAGUAACAUAAAAGUUGUGAGGAUUAAAUGGGUUAAUACGUGAAGCAUGGUUAAAACAGUGUUUCACACAUAGUAUGCAUUACGCAUGUUUUAGCUAUUAUUAUUUUACCCCCCUAACUUUCAGUAAUGGAAAUGUGAAUAUAAGAACGUAAAAAUUAUGUUACAAUGGGAGUUCCACAUAAGCUAAUCCAAACCCAAGGACUUGGUGAUUUGCAGAUGUAUUCCAUGCAUAUAUAUUUUACAUUUUCAUAUUCUCCCACUAAAACAUAAUUGACUGGUACUGCCAGCUUCUACUUGGGAUGCAGAAGGUUGCAAAGGGCAUUGCUUCCAACCUCAAUACAAUAAAAAUAGCCAAUAAAAUCGCAGACAAUAGGAAAACCUCUAACUUUUCUUGAAAUCAUUAGAGAAAUUGUGUUUAUUAUCUUUUAUUCAGCUUUUCAGAAUAUCAUAUUUAUCAUUUUGUUAGAAGUAGUUUUUGUAUUCAUUUUUUUCCUAUAGGAGCUCAUAGUGCUAUCCUACUCAUUAUAACUUUACCUGAAAACUAUGUUACUGUUUUAGUUUUCUUCACAAAGAUUAAAAUAAAUGAAUAGGUGAGCUGAGCACUGUGGAACACGCCCACAGAUACUUGAAAAGGCUGAGGUGGGAGGAUCCCUUUAAGAAAGGAGUUUAAGACCAGCCUGGGCAACAUGGUAAAGCUCUAUUAUCUUUUUAAAAUUUUUAAAUUGGAUGUGAAUGGUGGCAUGUGUCUGUAGUUCCAGCUACUCAGGAGGCUGAGGCAGGAGGAUUCCUUGAGCCCAGGAGUUCAAGGCUGCAGUAAGCUAUGAUCAUGCCACUGCACUCCAGCCUGGGCGACAGAGUGAGACCCUGUCUAUUUAAAAAAAAAAAUAGUUGGAUGCUUUUGUAAUACUCUGGAUGUGGGAAAAAAUGUCUCUAGGAUCUGUCUUUCACUGUUCUUUUAUGUCCUUACUGCUUCUGUGACAAAUCUAUUCCCAGAUCAUUCUGCUUGCCUUCACUUUUCUUGACUUAAAAUCUCUGGAAUUGGUUCAGGUGAGUUUCUUGCUUAGGCUUCCUUCAGAAAAAGCAUUUUUCUUGAUUAAAAAUGGUCUCUGUGCUCAGCAGAUUCUGUUCUCCAGGACCACCAUUUUUCAGGCACAGAAUGUGACACUCCUCUCAUUCCAGUUACAAUGUUCCUCUUGCCUUACCUCUUUCCAGAUGAGGUCCAAUUACAAGGAUCUUCACUAAUGUAAUGUACUGCGUUUCUUAGCUCUCCGUCUAGAUUUUGUUUUAGAGCAUCAUGACUUUAUCACCAUAGUAUGUUAUACAAAGUGGCCUACAUUCAAAAUUUAAUUAACUCCUCAAGUGAGCUAUCACAUAAUUGGGAGGGCAAAGAACCUUAUUCUUAUACCCAUUCCACUGGAUACUUUGAGCAUAUCCAACAACCAUUAAUUAAACACUCCAAAGGAAGAAAGAGAAAGCAGUUUUUGUUUUUUGGUUCUUCUAAAUCAAAAUUGAGCAAGAGAGAGAAAGAGGGUCCAGUGAACCUAACAGCAUGUGGGUGGAUUCUGCUCAGCGUACGGUAAUACUACCAUCCACAUUUUAAUCAACAGAAUUCACACUGAUCAGUGUUAUUACAGCAAAUGCUAAUUAAAUGUACCAUGUCUUGACACUUAAAAUAAAGUGUUACCAAAUUCAACCUCAAGCCGCAGGGAUCAAAUUCCUCUGAAAGCUACAAUUUGCACAAAAGCUCACUCAAUAAGAAAUGUGUUUUUCAGCUGUUUUCCCACAACAUAACAAUAAAUAGAAACAGACCUGGGAAGCAGCAAGACCAUUAAGAAUAACAAAUCAAAGAUGAUGUACAAGCUACAAAACAAUUUUCUCCUCACAUAAAUAAGUGCAAUAUACAAGAUUUUUUAAUAACAUGCCAGAAGACAUCAGUGCUCUGGGAGUCAAGAUACCUGGGUCCCUGUUCUAGUACUUUCAAUAAUUAGGAGUGUGAUCUUGAACAAACCACAAAACCUGUCUAAGCAUCAUUUUCUGCACAGGUAAAACGACAGAAUUGGGCAAAAUGACCUAAAUUUCCUUCUAGGAGCAAGUUACAUGAAUUUUUAAAAAUAAUAUGUAAAUGCUUUAUCAUGGCAGAGAGCGAUAUAAAUGAAAGUCUUUAACAUGAUCAUUCUUUGACACUGUGUCAGAGUUGGAGCAACAAAAGAUGAAUAAGGAAGAGUAGAAAUAAAUAAAUAUCAAGCAUCCACUUCUCAAUUUUUUCCUUUGAAAACCACCCGAAAUCUCUCUUCCUGGCAGCACAUGAAAGAAGGGUGUUGGAAAAGGUUGUUACCGAUAGGAAAGUAAUUUAUCUCUUCUGCUAUUGUAGUAGUUAAUGAGGGGCUAAGGGAGAGAACAAGAGUUUAGAGAGUUCCAUGGGAAGACAUUUACAAAAGGAAAAGGAUUACUACUUAAUAAACCAGUGGUUCCCAAUGUUUCGGGUGCAUCAGAGUCACCUGGGGCUUUCAUUAAGUCAGAAAUUCAGAAGGUUUGGGGUGGGCUUCAAAAAUCUUGCACCUGACAGGUUCCUUGGAUGAUUGUAAUAAAGGUAGUCCUGGACCACAUUUUUAAAAACACAUCACUAAACAGAGUUCAAAUUAUAAAAUUUCCUAUGAAACUGUGGAACAGUGCCUGCAGAACUGAACUUUCUGGAACCUUUUUAAGGAGAUUUAACCAAAAUCCCAGCACAUGAUCUUUUAACAGCAACAGGCUAUAUAAUCAGAAUUCUAGAACUGAAAAUAUCAUGAAAGUAGCAUAAUUUAACAUAUUUCUCCUAAACAAAUGGCCCCCAACUAAUUUUCAAAUAAGGAAACAUUUCUAUUAAUUCCAGCAGUAUCGUUUUCUGAUUCGUCUUUGUCACCAUAACUCAGCAUUUAUAGAGCUUCACUUCUUAGCACACACAAAAGUCAGAAUUUAGAAUACGGAUGAUGAAGAAAAAUUUAUAUUUACAACUGGGACUUAAUUCACUACAAUACACCAAAGAACACAACAAAAAUAGUUCAGUUAACUUUUUUUUAACACUUGUUAGAAUUAAUACCUCAUAAUAUCUCUUCAGUGCCUACCUAAUAGUUACAUGGCUUUGGCUGUUACAUGACAUCAAGUAAAAUUAAUUUUUAAACCAUCUGCACUAGUGGGCUUUUAGAUAUAUUGUAAGUGCGGAUCACAUUCUGACCUCAAAAGAAUAUACCUUGGAAGUGGAUCAUUUGUUUUUCAGCUGUCACCCAUUUCCUCAUGAUAGUCUAUAUGUAUUUAGCACUGAGGAUUAAGUUGUUUGACAAGUCACAUUAAAUCACCUGUGUUGCAAACUAAUGAAUACCAAGUGAGGGAUCAGGGAGUACAUAUAAAUUAAUCUUAAUAUAAAACUAUCUCUUCAAUAGAACACUUCUAUAUUCUUUUUAUAUUAUUUCUAUUUGAAGACAUUGUAACUAGCUUACUUUAGAAUCAAACCUAUUUUAUUAUUCAUAUGUUAUAUAGGAUGUGAUAAGACCACCUAAAGUAAUAGGCUAUUUAAUAAAUUGUGUGCAUGUACGUGUUUUCUGUAGAUAGGAGGAAAAUGAAUAUCACCUAAAGAAAAAUGUUUAGAAAGAGCUGAGCAACAAAAUCAAAACAAUCUUUGGUGUUGUGUAAAUAAAUUUAAUAAAAAUAUUGACUUCAAAGGCAGAAUAAAUAACUGUAGGGGGAAAGAAAAAUAUCCCCAUUGCAAAAGGACAAUCACAAAGGAAGCUGUGCACUGCCAACUUGUCUCUUUCUAAACCACAUGGAGCAGAGAAAAACUAUGUCUAGCAAAAAACAUUUUCUUUGAGGCUAGGCACGGUGGCUCAUGCCUGUAAUCCUGGUACUUUGGGAGGCUGAGGCAGGCGGCUCACUAGCCCAGGAGUUUGAGACCAGCCUGGGCAACAUGACAAAACCAUAUCUCUAAGAAAAUACAAAAAAUUAGCCGGGUGUGGUGGUGUGCACCUAUAGUCCCAGCCACUCAGGAGGCUGAGGUGGGAAGAUUGCUUGAGCCUGGGAGGUCGAGGCUUCAGUGAGCAGAGAUCACACCAUUGCACUCCAGCCUGGGCAACAGAGGGAAAACCUGUCUCAAAAAAAUAAAAAAACAAACAAACAAAACAUUUUCUUCAAUGCAUAAAGAAGUUAUAGAAAAGGUAGAGUGAUUUGGGAAGCAAACAAACGCUUUCUCCCUAAGAAGUUAAAGUCAUAGUAGACUGCCUACCCAGACUUCUGGCAGUACAUUAGUUGUAGUAGGUGCAAAUUACCUCAUAAGUCUUUGUAUCUGAAAAAUAUGUUUAAAGUAUGCCAAGUGCUAUUUUCUACGCAUAAUGGGAAAACAACCAAAAAUCUUUACUUCAUGUUAUAUGUGCAAAAAAAAAAAAAAAAUGCCAAUGUGUUAAGAAAAAUCCUUGAAUAUUCUUAAGAUGGAUUUUCAACUAUAGACCAUUUGUCAAACUUCUUCUCCUUGGGUAAAAGUAAGGAUACCCUAUUAGACUGCAUAAUCUAACAUGUCACUCUUCUUUAAGUUAAGAGGUAGUGAUAUUGACAAUGAGGUUGCCAGUUUGGGAGAUAUCACUGGCAUUAUACCUGAUGAUCACAUCCCAUAGAGCAAACUAGAGAGGAUACGGAAGGACAUAGCUGAUAUGGAAGGUGCAUUUUCAGGAACCAGAAAUCAAUUGCAGUCCUUGUAAGCAGUGACUUAUAAAAAUUGACUUGGGUAUCAGAGUAUCUGGAUUACAGUCCCAGAUGCCACGAACUAAUUGUGUGACUUUUGGUAAGAUACAGCCUUUAUUUCUUUAGGGUGUCCUCCAGCUUUUAUGAUCUAGAAUCCCAUGAAAUUAUGACGUUGACAUAUGCAUGGGGUUCACUUAUAAUUCUAGGAGCUCAGCCUUGGUUCAAAGGAGUUCUGCAUAAAAUUUUAGAAGUCUAGUACAUCUCUGGAUAACCUUCCUUUCUUGCUGCAAUUUGAAGGAGCAUUUGCUGUUCUAUUUCUUUGCCUCACACAAGCAGCCAACGUUUUUCCUCCAAAUUAGGCUUCCCCUCCCCACCCAAUCUCUGAUUGCUGUGUUUAUCCUAGUGUAUCUUGACUGUUUCUAUUUCCAUUCCAUUUUGUACAGGAGGACCAACUUCUGUCUUGAUGAAUGAAUCUCCUGGGAGAAGCAAUCCAUUUUUACAAACACUCUCAGAAGACAAUUUCAACUAUACCAGCUCUACUUCCAUAUUCAGUUCCCCUGCACAUAGGAGGAAAAAAAAGUCAAACUGUUCAGAAGAAAAGCAUUCCUAUCUGGAAGAGUCAGGAGGCACAUAAGAAAGGAAGGAUGAGCAAGAAUGUGGAGGAUUUUUCAUCUCUUCAUUUUUCCUAACCCACAUGGACAGAAGAGAGAGGACUGGUGCAAAGCCAAGAAACUUGCAAAACAAGUCUAACUGCGUAAAUGAUAUAUCCAUAUGAAAACGGACCCAUGUAACUUGCAAACUACAGCCAAAACUUAAGGGCCAUUCAAAAUAAAUGUUGACACAAGUUAUUGAUAUAAUAUGAAUACAAAGUGAUUUAUAUUUAAUAAGCAGAAUGGACAAAAUGAGAAUACAUAAAUAGGGAAGAAAAAUGUUUGCAAGUUUUGAGAAAUUAUUUUGAAUAAAUUAGAAAAGGAAAAGACAGCACAUAUACUUUAUUUCUUCUGAUGAUUAGAAAAUAGAGCAGAUUGCUUCUCAGUCUUUUGGCUAAGAUCAAGUGUAGAAAAUAGAGCAGAAUUAUUACUUUCCUUUUCUAAAUAGCCCAUCAGCUUUUUCUGGCAGCCCAUACCACUGUUCGUUCACAUGAAACUCAAUGCUAAUCAGAAUUUCUAAGUCUUUUCCAAACGUAUUAAGAGGUAUUCCUAUGGUUUGAAUAUGUCCCCCAAAAUUCAUGUGUUGGAAAUGUAACUACUAUUGUAAUAGUAUUAAAAGACGGGGCCUUUAAAAGAUUAGAUCAUGAGGGCUUAGCCUGCAGGAAUGGAUUAAUGCUCCUAUUACAGGAGUAAGUUCUAGGGUGGCCUCUUGAUAAAAAGGGUGAGUUCAGCCCAUUUCUCUGUCUCAUGUACUUGCUUCCAUCUUCUCUCUUUCUGCUGUGGGAUGACCCUCACCAGAUGCCAAUUCUAUGCUCCUGGACUUCCCAGUCUCCAAAACUAUGAGCCAAAUAAACUUGUUUUCCUUAUAAAUUACUCAGUCUGUGGUAUUCUGUCACAGCAGCAGAAAAUGAAUUAAGACAUAUAUGCUAAGAAGUCUAUCCACUAAUCUGUACCUGAGACAAUGUUUUUCUUUUCGGGAAAAUAUCAAUACAGGGCUUUAGGUUUAUCUCUAUCUAAAUGUAUCCUGUUAAUUUCAGCCUAUUAUUUUUAUUCUGCUAGAAUACUUUUUGGAUCUCCAUUUUAUAACUGUAAUACAUUUACUAAUGUUAUCGGCUUUGUUUCAUCUGCAGAUUUGCUGAGCAUAUCUAUAUGUUUAGGGAAGGAACAGGACAACAAAGGAGGACAACUAAAGCACACUAUUGUUUUUAUUUUUAUUUAUUUUUAUUGUUGGGAAUAGAGUCUCACUCUGUCACCUAGGCUGAAGUGCAAUGGAGCCAUCAUGGCUCACUGCAGUUUCAACCUCCUGGGCUCAAGCACUCCUACCGCCUCAGCCUUCUGCCUCAGCCUCCUGAGUUCCUAGGACCACAGGACAUGUGCAUAGACAUGUGCCACCAUACUCAGCUAAUUAAAAAAAAAUUGUAGAUUGUAGAGACAGGGCCUCACUAUGUUACCCAGGCUGGUCUUGAACUCCUGGCCUCGCGUGAUCCUCCUACCUCAGCCUCCCAAAGUAUUGAGUUUAUAGGCGUUAGCUACUGCACCCAGCCAAGCACACUAUUUUUAAAGAUCAGUUUUUACCAUGUGGAAUGCAUGAUAAGGUAUAUUGAAUUCCAGAUUCUUGGAAAUUAUCUCUAAACACACAGCUUCUUUUUAUAAAUAUUUUUAUAUUUUUGGAUUAUAAUAGUAAUUUUAAACCCUGUUUGGUGUUUACUUUUCUGCUAAGCAUAAGGGUUUUUGUUUUUUUUUUUAGUCUAAAGUACUAAUUAAUAGUAUGGUAAGUGCUACCAGAUAAUGAGGGCAGAUGGCAGUCACAGGCUAUGGUAACUAUGGACCCAUAGGGUCUUUUAGUCACAGCACUCACUGAUACACCUGCACCUCAACACUUCAAUUCUGAACCAAUGCUGAAAAUAGAAACUCAUUCUGAAAAGAUAUGGCAUAUGCAGAAGGUAGAAUUCUAAGAUGGUCCCCAAGAUUCCUUCCUUUUGCACACACCAUUUAUCAUCCCCUCCCAUUGAGUACAGACAGGUAUAUAAUAUGAUGGAUUUUAUUGCCAUGAUUAAGUGACAUUACCUGACAAAGAUGAAGGAAUGUUGUGGAUGUAAUCUCAAAUCAGUUGAUUUUGAGUCAAAACAAAAAUUAUCCUGGAUGAUCUAACUUGAUCAGGUGAGUUAUUCAAAAGAGAAAGAUGUUUGAAAUGAAAGAGAUUCUCCUGGUUGUUCUGAAGAAGAAAGCCAUCCAGGCUAUGAGAGAAAUACAUGGCCAUCUCCUGAGGACAGCCUCUAGAAGCUGAGGCCAGCACAAAACAAAACAAACGAAAAAACAAAUAAAACAGGGAUCUCCAUCCUAUAACCACAAGGGAACUAAUUCUGCCAAGGACCAGAAUGAACUUGGAAGGGGACUCCAAGCUCCUGAUAAGACCACAGCCCCAGCUGAAGCCUAGAGACCUAGAGAGACCCUGAGCAGAGGACACAGUCAGGUCAUCCAGCCUAGGCUUCUGACCUACAGAAACUGUGAUAUAAUAAAUGUUUGUUGUUUGAAUGAUGAACUUUGUUGUAGUUUAUGUAGCAAUACAAAACUAACACAGCAUACAAGAAAUAAGACUCAACCAUUCUAACCCUGCCAUCCACCAAAAUACCUAGUGAUUUGAUGGACAAAGCUAACUGAGCUACACUGAAAGCUGUAAGGGAACCUAACAGAAAAACAAAAUUCAGCUAUAAUUGUCAAGGUUUUCUAUUUGGGGCAGUAUCGUGUUUGUGCUGCUCUCAGUAAAAGAGCUAUUUGCAAAGAGAGAAAAACAGCGAAAGACUGAGAGGGAAUCAAUAUAAAUCAUUUACAUAACUGGAGAGACUGAUGAAAAUAGCAUCCAGGAAUAGCAGGGAGUCCAGACCCAUAGAAUACUUGAUGUCAUUACAAAACCUGCAGCAAGAAUUUCCAGGAAGUAAUAGACCCAGAAGGACUACUCGAAGACUUUCUAUGCUGAUUUCAAGGUCUGAGUAUUGAAAUUAACUGAACUGAGCCUCCAAAUCAACUAACUCUCUGGAAAAAGUAGUUUUAGAAUGUGUCUAGUCAUUAGAUAUUUCCAAGGUGAGAAAGUUAAUUUGCUAAAAGUUUUAGAAAUAAACAGUAAUCAACAAAUACAUUACACUAAUAUGCUUUCAAAAAGAAUUUUCAGUCUCCAAUCACAUACUCAACUGUUUUCUAACAAAAAUAACAAGAUAUUCUGGAUGUAGAUAUUUAAAAAUUCCCUUCCUAUUUAUCUUCCUGAACUUUGUUUUACUGUAUAUACUUAAAUCCAGUUAUAUAAAUGCUAUAUUAUUAGAAAUAGAAUUUUUUUUACUACUUAUUUCAUAACUUAGUGAUCCCCAUCUCAUUUAUUUAUGAGCCUUUUAGAAUUUUCUAGAUCAGUGACUACACUGAAAUUAUAGAAAAUUUUUGUCUACUCCUUCUAAAAAUAAUCAAACCAGAAUUCUUCAGAGAAAUUAAUAUUUUAAACUGAAGCAGUUGUGUUUUUUCAGGUGAUAAGCUUUGUUCUUCAGGAUCUGCUACAGUGUACAGUAUUUUUAUAAACUCUCUUAGAGUAUAUCAGCUCAUGUAGUUUUGCAAAUCUAUUUGUCCUGUUUUGCCAUGAAGAAAAAACACUUUUAUCAAGGUAUCUCCACGGAUGUUUCAAUGAAAAUAAGAAAAGAAAAAGAAAUAACUAAUUUGUAAAGACAGCCUUGAUUUUCUUGGACAGUAUUUUAUAAACCACAAAUAAAGAGUCAAAGCCCCAAAUACAAGCAGUAGAAUAAACCUUAAAAACCGAUCACAACAUUUCUUAGGUCUUAGCCACGGAAGUUAUCUUUAAUGAUCCAUAAGGGAAUUGUAUACAAUAGUCGAAGCUCUUAAAUUCAUACACACAUAUCCUUCCAUUUGAGGGAGCAAACUAAACAAUGCUAAUUAUGUUAGACUGAGACAGCUGUUUUGAAAUACAAGGAUUAGAACCUUUUCUAUGGUUCCUACAAUUUUAUUACUCUGAUGUAUUAGUUUUUUAAUUACAAAAUUGGCAAAGAGCAGUGGGCAAUAUUCGGUUUACUGGUUUUGUCCCAAAGCAAAUUUUAUAAUUUUCUUCCAAAAGGAAAACUUCUCUUUCAAAGAAUUAUCCCAUCAACCAGUCAGA